GCAAGUCGAGGGGCAGCGGGGGCGGAAGCUUGCUUUCGCCCGCCGGCGACCGGCGCACGGGUGAGUAACACGUAUGCAACCUGGCCCCCACAGGGGGAUAACCCGCGGAAACGCGGCCUAAUACCCCUUUACGCCACCGGCGGGCAUCCUCCGGUGGCCCAAGGAGUGAUCCGGUGGCGGAUGGGCAUGCGGCGCAUUAGCUAGACGGCGGGGUGACGGCCCACCGUGGCGACGAUGCGUAGGGGUUCUGAGAGGGAGGCC
rnacentral:rRNA from 1 species